rnacentral:lncRNA from 1 species
AAAUCACUUAGCAAUAACAAAGAGAUAAGAAUUCAUUUCGUUUGAUUGAGAAAUUAAGAACAGAAAUAAGACAGUCAUAGAGGAAAAGAUCAGGCAUGCUGGAGUGCAGGUACUCACUUUAAAGAAUCUUCCUCUUAGGCUGCAGAAGGUUACAGCUCCCAUACGUUUGUGGGAAGAGGUCAAACUCUUACCCUGAGGUCAAGACUGAUGGUCAAAAGUAUUUAGUAAUACGGGUAGGUUCAGAUAUACUUUUAUAGUUACUAUCUUUGUAUAGUAACAUUUAACAUAUUUGUAUAUCUAGAAUUUUUCUUCUUGUUU